rnacentral:tRNA from 1 species
GCCCCGGUAGCCUAGCUUGGUGGGGCGGCGGACUUGUAAUCCGCCGGUCGCGGGUUCAAAUCCCGCCCGGGGCUCCA